GGUGCGGGGCGGGGAUGCUGUUGGGCACGGCACAGCCAGCGGCUGAGUCCGUUGGCGGGCAGGGCUGGUGACCCUUUCCCCGGGGCCUGGCCCUGGAGCCACCAUGUUUUUGGCGCUCAAGGAGAGACUCCAGUUGGACUGGGUGGCCUGGCGGCUGCAUGUGUUCUACAAGCGGAAGAAGCACAAGUUCAUCUUCAUCAUCUCCUGGAAUGAGAUUGAGGGCAAGUUUGCCAUAACCUGCUAAAACCGGAUGGCCCAGAGGCAGAGGAGCGGCACCAGCGGUCAGGUCUACUUGGGCCACGACCUGGACACCUGUGGCUGGAAGAUCCUCUCCCAAGAAUUCUUCACGGAAACCCACGACUGGGAGUAUUAUGAACCCUUAGCGAGCUGCAGCAGAAGGACCAGGAAGCGCAUCCAGGAGUGAGGCCAGACCCAGGCACUGAGUGAGCAAGACUGCGAGCUGAGAUUCUGGAGCUGCUGCCACCACCACCAGCAUGAGAGCGAGGGAGCACCCGAGGGACCCAGCCCCUGUGCGCUGGCCCAGCUGAGACCUGCGCCCAACCUGGGGCCAGCGGGAGCCACGGCCCCCCGUCUCCCCACUCCCCUCCCCGCCGGCAGCGGCAGCUGCACACGCCGGAGCCCGAGCCGGCGGCCGGGGGGCCGGGAGGCGGCUACCUCGGGCGGGGCUCGUCAGCGGCUCCGCGGUGAGAGGGCGCUGAGACGCGGCUGGAGCUUCUGUCUCAUCCUGGGGCGUGGGGCAAGGGACUCCCAAGGUGGAGGGAAGGGGUCCCAGCCUCAGCGACACCUGUGGGAGCCGGAAGCCGGGGUGGCGCCUAGCGGAGCUGGCUGGAUCCCCCACCUCAGUGCCAUCUCCGCCACCCUUCUGCGUCUAUAGCAUCUCCACCCUGAGUAUAUGAGCCGGGACCCCAAGUUCGGCCACCACCCCCCAGCCAGGGGUGUGGGCGGGGACCCCAAUAUGAAGUAGUGGCCCGGGCAGCGGGAUCAGCAGGACCGGCACCGCCAUCCUUUCCUUCUCUCGCCCUCCCUUCUGCCCCCUUGGGGGUCUUCUCCCUCAACCAGUCACUGGACCCUGGCUCCUCGGCAGGACUCCGGGAGGACGUCUUAGGGCCCCAUCCCCCACCCCAGCCCCGAGGGCGGCGGGUUUGGGGGGACCUGGAGGGCCGACUGCAGCCUUCGCCCAGAGGGAACUUUAUUAAAAUCAAAAUACAGAGCACCCCAAAUCUGACUGUCCAGGGACAAGUGGACCAGGACCGGCAGAAUACCCAGCCUGAAGAGGGCCAGAAAGAGAAGAGGAGGGAAGUGGGGCCGCUGCCUCUUCUGCUCUGUCGCUGUUGAAAAGACCUGGGUGGCUGCCCCGCUUAGCAGCACCAGCCCCGCUUCUUCCUUAGUAAGGCGCGGGCCCUGCCGCAGCUGCCGCCUCCAUCCCGAGGAGGAAGGGAACCAGCCCACCUACAGAGCUCUGGCUCUUCUGUAAUGUGUAAGCUUAUUGUUGAAAAUUUGAAAAAGACUGGGUAAGAGACUACAGAUUGCCUUUAUUUCUUAAUCCAAAGAUGGUGCCGAUGCCCUGUGACUCAGGAGCUGUACCUCCAGGAACUGAGCGCUACAGAUAUGCUCAUGCAACCUUAUCUGAAAGAUUUUCCUAAAUGGCAAUUUUUAUACUUCUUCAUCAACCAUUCCCUUGACUGCUUCUCUUUCAACUCAUAUGCAUAAAAGACUUCACCCCAGGACCAGAUAACAAAACAGUUAAUAACAGGAAGGAUAAGCCUUCAGAACUUGCCAAGCAAAAGGAGAGAUUGGUAUGCACAAAGGUAAAUAUGUAAGAUGAUGAAUAAUUGAAAUUUAAAUGAGUGGCUCACAGUAGUGCUCAAAAAGUUCAAAGAGGAAAGGAAGGCAGGUGGAAGUGGUCCUGUUUGUGUGUGUUUGUGUGUGUGAGCAUGCAUGCUGGGAAAGGAAUUCGGUAAUGGAUGAAGACAUCAUGCAAGAUGGUUGAAGUGUCGGUAACAGUCUUUGGAAUAUGAGUUGAGAAAGGGAAAUAAAAAGUUGAAUUUGGAAAUGAUGCUUGAGGCCAGAAUGUAAAAGGCCUUGAAGGUCAAAUUAAGAUGUGCUGUCAUACAUUAUGUCUUGUCUUUCACAUCAAUAUAUGUUGACCCUCUUAGAAAUGGUGAAUUAGAGAGGAGAUGAAGGGUUCCUUUAAAGAAGAAAUCUAGGCAAACAACAGCACACUGAGGAAAUGGUACCCAGCAAUUGCAUUCCACAAGAUUAAGUACAUUAGCAUUUCUAAAGAAAAAUAAUAAUUUAUAGUACUGUAUGUUUCCUACUACCUACAGAGUUAGAAAAUUGCUCAGUAACAUUGAAUUUGAAAUAUUCAAAGGGUGAGCUAGACAGACACCAAGUAAUCUUUUGUAUGGUUGAGUGUGUGUUUCAAAAUGUUUCAGUUUUUCCUGACAGUGGCCACUUUUAUUAGGUAUUUACCUAGAAGCAGAUUUGCUGGAAUAGGUUUAUCUGUAUGUUCAGGUUAAAGUGGAUACUGACAGAUAUUUGCUUCUCAGGUGAUUGUACCAAUUUACAUGCUCAUCAGCAAUGUAGCAUUCUUUAUGUGCUCCUGAAAGUUAGGAAGUUCUGAGCCUCAAUUCAGUUCUACAAAGGGUAAAAUUUUAAACAAUCUCCUUUGUAGUUCUCAUGCAUACCAAAUUUUUAGAGUUAUUAUCAGUGGUAUAAUAAAUAAAUUAUCUGUCCUUUAUUUCUUGUACCAGACACAGAACUUCAAAACUCUUGGAAUUUCUUGAGUGAGAAGACCGUCUAUUAUGCUAAUGAGGUGACUCAUAGUAGUGGGCCCCAAGUUAACUUCAGCAUGAGCACUAAUCCCAGAAAGACCAGCCACAUAAUUAGAGGGUUAAAAAUUAGGGACACGCUGGACUCUGGGAAAAUGGGAGUAGAUGGUGCUGGAGAUGGAGAUUAGUCAUGUGUCCAAUGAUUUAAUAAAUUAUAAAGCCCAAGUAAAACCUCUGGACUUCAAACUCAGUGAUGCUUUCUGGUUUGUGAAUACCCAGAAUCCACUUGCAGCCAGUGUCUGAGUUUGGCAUAUACUAAGUCUGUGUAAUUUAUUUGUUGAACAACUUAAUGCACUGAUUCUAACCUGAGUCUUACAUCCAACUCUUGUAUCAUUCUGGAAGUAUAAAGUCUACGAGCUUGUGUCUCUCAUGGUGAAGCUUGACAUUUUUGUCCAUGUAGGGAGAUUCAGGAAAGGUAUGACUAAACAGUGGGAAUAUUACUGUGUGGAAAAAGGCAUCAUCAUAGAAAAUGAAAUCCUCUAACACAACAAUUUUCAGUUCAAAGCAAGCCAAAACAAAUUGACUAUUCCACUUGUGACCUAAGCAGUGAGCAUUGGUAUCUCCAGUAAGAUUUGGCCUCUCCAGUAAGAUUAACAAGAGGACAGAUGACUGGAUAAAGAAGUAGUAUAUUUAUACAAUGGAAUAAUGCACAUCCAUAAAAAAAUAAUAAAAUAAUGUCAUUUAUAGCAACAUGAAUGGACUUAGGAAAUAUCAUUCUAAGUGAACGCAGAAAGAGAAAGAAAAAUGCCAUAUGAUAUCACUUACAUGUAGCAUCUAAAAAAUAGAUGAAAUUAUUAAAAAAAACUCACAGACAUAGAAAACAAACUUAUGGUUUCCAGAGGGAGAAGAGAGUAGGAAGGGCUAAAUUGAGAGCUUGAGAUUUGUAGAUAAUAAUAUAUAUAUAAUAUAUAAAAAACAAUUCCAUAUUGUAUAGCACAGAGAACUAUAUUCAAUAUCUUAUAGUAACUUAUGGUGAAAAGGAAUAUAAAAAAGAAUAUAUGUAUGUUAAUGUAUGACUGAAGCAUUAUCC